AUUGUACGCUGGCGGCAGGCCUAACACAUGCAAGUCGAACGGUAACAGGAAGCAGCUUGCUGCUUUGCUGACGAGUGGCGGACGGGUGAGUAAUGUCUGGGAAGCUGCCCGAUGGAGGGGGAUAACUACUGGAAACGGUAGCUAAUACCGCAUAACGUCGCAAGACCAAAGAGGGGGACCUUAGGGCCUCUUGCCAUCGGAUGUGCCCAGAUGGGAUUAGCUAGUAGGUGGGGUAACGGCUCACCUAGGCGACGAUCCCUAGCUGGUCUGAGAGGAUGACCAGCCACACUGGAACUGAGACACGGUCCAGACUCCUACGGGAGGCAGCAGUGGGGAAUAUUGCACAAUGGGCGCAAGCCUGAUGCAGCCAUGCCGCGUGUAUGAAGAAGGCCUUCGGGUUGUAAAGUACUUUCAGCGGGGAGGAAGGGAGUAAAGUUAAUACCUUUGCUCAUUGACGUUACCCGCAGAAGAAGCACCGGCUAACUCCGU
rnacentral:rRNA from 1 species